CCUAGAGGAUUAAGAAGGCAGGGCCUGCUGAGUGAGGCCCUGCCGAUACCAUCCUCUUAGAGAAAUGUGAUGAGGAGAGGGGUCCAGCUUGCAGAAGAGCGGAGACCUCACUGUGCCAUCCGACAGCC
ensembl:scaRNA